AACGAACGCUGGCGGCGCGCCUAAUACAUGCAAGUCGAGCGAGAAGACGUAGCAAUACGUUUGUAAAGCGGCGAACGGGUGAGGAAUACAUGGGUAACCUACCCUCGAGUGGGGAAUAACUAGCCGAAAGGUUAGCUAAUACCGCGUACGCUCCUUGGACUUCGGUUCAUGGAGGAAAGCGAUACCGUGGGGUAUCGCGCUCUUGGAUGGGCUCAUGUCCUAUCAGCUUGNGGUGAGGUAACGGCUCACCAAGGCUUCAACGGGUAGCUGGUCUGAGAGGACGAUCAGCCACACUGGCACUGC
rnacentral:rRNA from 1 species